rnacentral:rRNA from 1 species
UACAGAGGGGGCAAGCGUUAUUCGGAAUUAUUGGGCGUAAAGGGCGCGUAGGCGGCCUGGCAAGUGGAUGGUGAAAUCCCUCGGCUUAACCGAGGAACUGCCAUCCAGACUGCUUGGCUUGAGACCGGGAGAGGUGAGUGGAAUUCCCAGUGUAGCGGUGAAAUUCGUAGAUAUUCGCAAGAACACCAGUGGCGAAGGCGGCUCACUGGCCCGAUACUGACGCUGAGGCACGAAAGCGUGGGGAGCAAACAGG